UACGGAGGAUGCAAGCGUUAUCCGGAAUCAUUGGGUUUAAAGGGUCCGCAGGCGGGAUAGUAAGUCAGUGGUGAAAUGCUCCGGCUCAACCGGUAGAGGUGCCAUUGAUACUGCUGUCCUUGAAUUGCCAGGAAGUAAUUAGAAUGUGUAGUGUAGCGGUGAAAUGCAUAGAGAUUACACAGAAUACCAAUUGCGAAGGCAGAUUACUAUUGGUCAAUUGACGCUGAUGGACGAAAGCGUGGGGAGCGAACAGG
rnacentral:rRNA from 1 species